ACGGGGGGAGCAAGCGUUGUUCGGAUUUACUGGGCGUAAAGGGCGCGUAGGCGGCCACUGCAAGUCAGUUGUGAAAUCUCCGGGCUUAACCCGGAAAGGUCAACUGAUACUGCAGGGCUAGAGUGCAGAAGGGGCAACUGGAAUUCUCGGUGUAGCGGUGAAAUUCGUAGAUAUCGAGAGGAACACCGGUGGCGAAGGCGGCCUUCUGGACAGUGACUGACGCUGAGACGCGAAAGCGUGGGGAGCAAACAGGA
rnacentral:rRNA from 1 species